rnacentral:rRNA from 1 species
AUUGAACGCUGGCGGCAGGCCUAACACAUGCAAGUCGAACGAGUGGCGGACGGGUGAGUAAUGUCUGGGAAACUGCUCGAUGGAGGGGGAUAACUACUGGAAACGGUAGCUAAUACCGCAUACCAUCGGAUGUGCCCAGAUGGGAUUAGCUAGUAGGGGGGGUAACGGCUCACCUAGGCGACGAUCCCUAGCUGGUCUGAGAGGAUGACCAGCCACACUGAGAUUGAGACACGGUCCAGACUCCUACGGGAGGCAGAAGUGAGGAAUAUUGCACAAUGGGAGCAGGCCUUAAACAGCCAUGCCGGGUGGAUGGAGAAGGCCUUCGGGUUGUAAAGUACUUUCAGCGAGGAGGCGUUACUCGCAGAAGAAGCACCGGCUAACUCCGUGCCAGCCGCCGCGGUAAUAC